GAUGAACGCUAGCUACAGGCUUAACACAUGCAAGUCGAGGGGCAGCAUUUUAUGUUUUGCUUGCAAACUGGAGAAGGCGACCGGCGCACGGGUGAGUAACACGUAUCCAACCUGCCGAUAACUCGGGGAUAGCCUUUCGAAAGAAAGAUUAAUACCCGAUGGCAUAAUUAGACCGCAUGGUCUUAUUAUUAAAGAAUUUCGGUUAUCGAUGGGGAUGCGUUCCAUUAGGCAGUUGGUGAGGUAACGGCUCACCAAACCUUCGAUGGAUAGGGGUUCUGAGAGGAAGGUCCCCCACAUUGGAACUGAGACACGGUCCAAACUCCUACGGGAGGCAGCAGUGAGGAAUAUUGGUCAAUGGGCGCAGGCCUGAACCAGCCAAGUAGCGUGAAGGAUGACUGCCCUAUGGGUUGUAAACUUCUUUUAUAUGGGAAUAAAGUUUUCCACGUGUGGAAUUUUGUAUGUACCAUAUGAAUAAGGAUCGGCUAACUCCGUGCCAGCAGCCGCGGUAAUACGGAGGAUCCGAGCGUUAUCCGGAUUUAUUGGGUUUAAAGGGAGCGUAGGUGGACAGUUAAGUCAGUUGUGAAAGUUUGCGGCUCAACCGUAAAAUUGCAGUUGAUACUGGCUGUCUUGAGUACAGUAGAGGUGGGCGGAAUUCGUGGUGUAGCGGUGAAAUGCUUAGAUAUCACGAAGAACUCCGAUUGCGAAGGCAGCUCACUGGACUGCAACUGACACUGAUGCUCGAAAGUGUGGGUAUCAAACAGGAUUAGAUACCCUGGUAGUCCACACAGUAAACGAUGAAUACUCGCUGUUUGCGAUAUACAGUAAGCGGCCAAGCGAAAGCAUUAAGUAUUCCACCUGGGGAGUACGCCGGCAACGGUGAAACUCAAAGGAAUUGACGGGGGCCCGCACAAGCGGAGGAACAUGUGGUUUAAUUCGAUGAUACGCGAGGAACCUUACCCGGGCUUAAAUUGCAUUUGAAUAUAUUGGAAACAGUAUAGCCGUAAGGCAAAUGUGAAGGUGCUGCAUGGUUGUCGUCAGCUCGUGCCGUGAGGUGUCGGCUUAAGUGCCAUAACGAGCGCAACCCUUAUCUUUAGUUACUAACAGGUCAUGCUGAGGACUCUAGAGAGACUGCCGUCGUAAGAUGUGAGGAAGGUGGGGAUGACGUCAAAUCAGCACGGCCCUUACGUCCGGGGCUACACACGUGUUACAAUGGGGGGUACAGAAGGCAGCUACCUGGUGACAGGAUGCUAAUCCCAAAAGCCUCUCUCAGUUCGGAUCGAAGUCUGCAACCCGACUUCGUGAAGCUGGAUUCGCUAGUAAUCGCGCAUCAGCCAUGGCGCGGUGAAUACGUUCCCGGGCCU
rnacentral:rRNA from 1 species